rnacentral:rRNA from 1 species
AGAGUUUGAUCCUGGCUCAGAUUGAACGCUGGCGGCGUGCCUAACACAUGCAAGUCGAGCGGCAGCGCGGUAGCAAUACUGGCGGCGAGCGGCGAACGGGUGAGUAAUACUUUGGAAUCUUCCCAGUAGUGGGGAAUAACCAGUCGAAAGAUUGGCUAAUACCGCAUACGUCUGAAAAGGGAAAGCGGGGGCUCGUAAGACCUCGCGCUAUUGGAUGAGCCAAAGUCGGAUUAGCUAGUUGGUGGGGUAAUGGCCUACCAAGGCGACAAUCCGUAGCUGGUCUGAGAGGACGACCAGCCACACCGGAACUGAGACACGGUCCGGACUCCUACGGGAGGCAGCAGUGGGGAAUAUUGGACAAUGGGGGAAACCCUGAUCCAGCGACGCCGCGUGUGUGAAGAAGGCCUGCGGGUUGUAAAGCACUUUUAGUGGGGACAAAAAGCUACGGAUUAAUACUUCGUGGUCUUGAUUUAACCCAAAGAAAAAGCACCGGCUAACACUGUGCCAGCAGCCGCGGUAAUACAGAGGGUGCGAGCGUUAAUCGGAAUUACUGGGCGUAAAGCGCGCGUAGACGGUUUGUAAGUCAGAUGUGAAAUCCCUGGGCUCAACCUGGGAACUGCAUUUGAGACUGCAUGGCUAGAGUAUGGAAGAGGGAAGUGGAAUUUCCGGUGUAGCGGUGAAAUGCGUAGAUAUCGGAAGGAACACCAGUGGCGAAAGCGACUUCCUGGUCCAAUACUGACGUUCAUGUGCGAAAGCGUGGGGAGCAAACAGGAUUAGAUACCCUGGUAGUCC